rnacentral:tRNA from 1 species
GCCCCCUUAGCUUAGCGGUAUUCUCUAGAAGAGAACGUUACAGAGCGCGUGACUGUUAAUCACGAGGUCGACAGUUCAAGUCUGUCAGGGGGCG